CCUACGGGUGGCAGCAGUGGGGAAUAUUGGGCAAUGGGCGCAACCCUGACCCAGCAACGCCGCGUGAAUGCAGAAGGCUUUCGGGUUGUAAACCUCUUUUGACAGGGAAGAGCAUGACACGGUACCUGUCGAAUAAGCCACGGCUAACUACGUCCCAGCCGCCGCGGUAAUACGUAGGGGGCAAGCGUUGUCCGAAUUUACUGGGUGUAAAGGGCGUGGAGCCGGGCUGACAAGUCAGAUGUGAAAUCCGGGGGCUCAACCCCCGAACUGCAUUGGAAACUGUUGGUCUUGAGUAUCGGAGAGGCAAGCGGAAUUCCUAGUGUAGCGGUGAAAUGCGUAGAUAUUAGGAGGAACACCAGUGGCGAAGGCGGCCUGCUGGACGACAACUGACGGUGAGGCGCGAAAGCGUGGGGAGCAAACAGGAUUAGAUACCCUUGUAGUC
rnacentral:rRNA from 1 species